GCGCUUGCUUCAGCAGCACAUAUACAAAAAUUAGAAUGGUACAGAGAAAAUUAGCAUGGCCUUUGCAUGAGGAUGGCACACAAAUUUGUGAAAAAUAAAAAUAAAAA